rnacentral:rRNA from 1 species
UGGGGAAUUUUGGACAAUGGGCGAAAGCCUGAUCCAGCAAUGCCGCGUGUGUGAAGAAGGCCUUCGGGUUGUAAAGCACUUUUGUCCGGAAAGAAAUCCUCUGGGUUAAUACCUCGGGGGAGUGACGGUACCGGAAGAAUAAGCACCGGCUAACUACGUGCCAGCAGCCGCGGUAAUACGUAGGGUGCAAGCGUUAAUCGGAAUUACUGGGCGUAAAGCGUGCGCAGGCGGUUUUUGUAAGACGGAUGUGAAAUCCCCGGGCUUAACCUGGGAACUGCAUUCGUGACUGCAAGGCUAGAGUAUGGCAGAGGGGGGUAGAAUUCCACGUGUAGCAGUGAAAUGCGUAGAGAUGUGGAGGAAUACCGAUGGCGAAGGCAGCCCCCUGGCAAGUACUGACGCUCAUGCACGAAAGCGUGGGGAGCAAACAGGAUUAGAUACCCCUGGUAGUCCACGCCCCUAAAACGAUGUCAACUAGUUGUUGGGGGAUUCAUUUUCCUUAGUAACGUAGCUAACGCGUGAAGUUGACCGCCUGGGGAGUACGGUCGCAAGAUUAAAAACUUAAAGGAAUUGACGGGGGU